rnacentral:rRNA from 1 species
AGUGAACGCUGGCGGUAGGCCUAACACAUGCAAGUCGAACGGCAGCACAGUAAGAGCUUGCUCUUACGGGUGGCGAGUGGCGGACGGGUGAGGAAUACAUCGGAAUCUACUUUUUCGUGGGGGAUAACGUAGGGAAACUUACGCUAAUACCGCAUACGACCUACGGGUGAAAGCAGGGGAUCUUCGGACCUUGCGCGAUUGAAUGAGCCUAUGUCGGAUUAGCUAGUUGGCGGGGUAAAGGCCCACCAAGGCGACGAUCCGUAGCUGGUCUGAGAGGAUGAUCAGCCACACUGGAACUGAGAAACGGUCCAGACUCCUACGGGAGGCAGCAGUGGGGAAUAUUGGACGAUGGGCGCAAGCCUGAUCCAGCCAUACCGCGUGGGUGAAGAAGGCCUUCGGGUUGUAAAGCCCUUUUGUUGGGAAAGAAAAGCAGCAGGUUAAUCCCCCGCUGUUCUGACGGUACCCAAAGAAUAAGCACCGGCUAACUUCGUG